GGUCCGAGGGGUCCCGGCUGUGAGGGGCGGGGGGUCCCGCUGUGAGGGGGCGUUGGUCUGAGGGUCUCUGUGGGGAGAGGGCGUUGGUCCGGUGGGUUCUCGUGAGGAGGGGGCGGCCGGGUGUGAAGGGUUGUGUGAGGGACUUUUGGGGGUGUGCGGAGAGAGUAACUAGCUGUGAGGGGUUGUGUGAGGAGCAGUUUUAGGGGAUAAGAGAGGAGCUGCUGAGGGAUAGGAGAACAGGAGAGAGCUGGCAUGUGGGGGUGCUGAGAGAAGUUUGGGAAAUAAUUUGUGGAAGCCCCAUGUGGGGACACUGAGUGGGGAGAGGGGCCUGAGGGAGAAGAUGAUGGGGGGCUGCUGCUGAGGCCAUUUGAGCUCAGCCAGCAUUUUGAGGAGCAGCAGGCCUGAGGGAGAAUGAGGAAACUGAGGAAAGGUGUGGGGCAGACCUCAGCAAGGAGGUACUUGGGGCCUGGACAUGUGUAGGGGAGAGGUCUGGCACGGAUGGGAACUUUUUGGGGACAAUGUGGAAGAGGACAGUAGGUUUGGGGUAAGCGGUCUGUGGUGAGGACAUGGAUCCAAGUGGAGCUGCCUCUCUGGCCAGGGGGAGCUCAUCUACAGGCUGUGACAGUCCCAGGAAGUGGUAGGUGACUGCUCUAGUGCAGCUGCCCUCACCAAAUGGGUGUAUUUCAGCCUGCCCUUGUCCGAGCUGUGUCUGGGUUGUGGCCAGAAGAGGGGAAAAAAAAAAUCUCAUGGGCUGAGCACAUGGUCUCCUAAACUGUACUCUUGGCUCUCAGUGGUGGGUGUUGAACUUGGUAGGUUGUUGAGCCUUUGUGUGCUUUGGUAUCUCCAUCUAUGAAGCAGAGAUAACAGUUGGCUUCAUGCAGGGAUUAAUUAUCACAUCUUGUAGUCAUGUAUUUGUUUAUUUGUUUUUACUAUAGAUUACAGCUGGAGGAAUUCUAAACAGUCCACUUCUCCUUGUCAUGGUGUUUGAGUGCAUUGUGCUCCCGUCUGAACGGAGGAAAUCACUGAGGUUUUCCCUCACAGCUGAGUCAGCAGAAGAGAGUGUUCUGUGCCUGACCCUGCUGGGUUAGUGCUGCCUGUCUCCGCUCAGACCCCAGCCCGACAGUGCUGUGACUACCCUGGCCUUUGUCCUAGACUGGCUGGUGUAGGGAUGUGUAUUUACACCGUGGUACAGGGAAGUAACCUCUGGAAGAGAGUUGGCUGGAGAGUAUGACUGGAACUGCUGGACAAAAGGUGGUGGAACUCUUCUGAGAACUCCUAGAUUCCAUAUUAGCAUGGUGGCUUUUCCAGUGAUCUGCAAUGAACAGCUCUGCUGUUGACCCUAUCUGGAUCUUGGUCUCCUGUUUUAUAGAUUUUAUAGAUAAAACAACAUUUUACAUUGCUGUGAACUUGCUUCCAGGCACCGAUUCUUAUAAUCCAUAAACCACAGUAAAACUGUGGCCUUGCUCUUCAGCAAUUCUGCAGUCACCUAUCUCUGAGACAUUGUAUUUCACCCUUGAAUAAGAUUCUAGACCAAAAAAAAAGAGUUAGACUGCAUACAGAUUAACAAAUGUAUUGCUUGUAUCUCUGGCUACUGCAGCAUGACUCACCCAUCAGUGCUUGUCAGAGUCUUGCGUGACCUCAUUGAAAGCUUCAACAUCUCUUAUGUGAAGGCAGGUUGUAAUCCAGUGUGGGAAUCCUAAAUAGGUGGGGAAUGAAGUUCUGAGAUUGUGAUAAUGCAUACAUCAUAAACAUCUCCCUGGAAAUCAAUUAUGCCCUCACCAGGAAUAUUCCUACAGAUUUCUGAGAUCUCUUGGUGCUAAGCCUGCCUUUCCCUGCUUUUAUUUAAAAAAACACCUGUAUUAUUCAAGACAGCAACAGAAAUCAAUACUGGUAGGAAAAUUUAAGAGUGAAUGGGACAUGUCAAGGAGGAGAUGCUCUGCUAUUUGCAAGGACAAGAAAGAGCUGAUGGUUCCUUUUUAUGUAUGACAGCUUCUAUAUGCUUUUGUUCUUUUUUUUUUUUUUUUCCCCUAUGUCAGUAAUGAGGCUUCUGGUACACAGGUAUCUGCUGCUACUGGAAUGGAAAGUGAAAUCCCUAGCUGUUGGUCUGGUUGCUGUCCUUGGGACAUGUGAAUGUCUGCUCCUGUUUUGCUGUAGGUAAUUUCUGGAAGUGGCAAAGUUGUCUGUGCCAGCCAGGAAGCUUUGUCCGUAGGCAGCAACAGUUACUGUCCCUUAGUUUCUCAAAGCUGCAGCUCCUCAGUGGUUCCACAGACCCGCUUUGUCACGGUGUGUCAGUAACUUCACGGAACUCACUGCAUCUGCUGCUGUACUUGGUAUCAAGUCUGGCAUCUGUCUAAAUGUAGGUAUGUCCCUCCUGCAGAUCUGCUUUACCCAUCCAGACUCUUACCUGGUGAGUUUUUUCUCUUACACUUUGCCUUAGGUAGAUGGUAGUAUGACUUCUGUGUUUCUUAAGAGUUUUUUUAUCUUGAGUCUGGGAACAUAGAUCGUUAUUAUUUUGGGAUAGGAGAAGAGGGCAAAAAUCCUGUUCUGAGUAGAUAUAUUUUACAUUCUGGUCCUUCUUUAAGGAAGGUGUAGCAGGUCACAGAAUCAAUGCAUGCAUAUCAUUUGUAAGGAAAAAAAUAGGCAACCUUAGGCCUUUUUAUCCAUUAUUUUUUACCACAGAGAUCAGAGAGGUGCUAUAUCUCCUUAGCUGUUUUGUGAAUCCUUGGGGGAAUAAGUUGAUGGGUCUGCCCAGUUUCUAGUACUGAGAACUGUGCAUAUGCACAUAAAAUACAUCGAGUUCUAAAAAAUGUCUCUGAUGUUCUUUGUGCAGAGACCAAGGCCUGGAUGAUGUUUGGAGACUAGGCAUACCUUUGCUCAAUGAUCUGAUGGAUGUACAUAGUGAUGUACUAGGGCAUAGGAGAUGGAAGCCUCACAAAAGUGUUGUCCAUGCUGCAUUCAGCUGUGGGGAUAUUGGCUUAAAUGAUUGAUCUAGUAUUUGAAGUCCUAUUGCUUGAUUUACAUCUUGGUUUUUAGUAUCUUGGCAGACCUUUCUGUCACACAGUAAAGCAUACCUGGGGUUCUGGUAGAAUUCUGCUCUUAGGUCAAGCCCAAACCUCAUUGCUCCUCCCUGCCUUCAGCUGGAAAUGGGCAGACACAAUUUGUGACUGAAUAUCCUGAGUCACCGAUUCCCAGCUGGCCAUGUGCACUGCAGUUCCAUCUCUUCCUUUCCGACUGCACUCCCUAGAGGAGAUUGGGAACAACUGCAGUCGUCAGCUCCAGCGUGGUGUGUGCGCUUGCCAGGAUCCACACAAUUGGUGGACAAUCCCUGUCUACGUCUAUGGGGUGAGCUGCUUGUGAUUUGUUACUGUAUGCUUGGUGUUUCCACACCGGAAAAUGAAACAGGUGUAAGAAUAUUUUGAAAAAAAAAAAAUUAAAUUUCUUGAGAUUUACUAGAAAAAUAUCAGCAUUGUGGAGAUGGUGAUAGGAUGUCUCCAUUAAAUAAUCAGUUGAGACAAGUGAGGAUGCCAGUAAUGCUCUCACAGCAAGAUUGUGUGAUAAUGGAUGAAGAUGAAGAAUCUGUAGAGAUGAUGAAAGGUGAAGUAGUUACUCCCUACACUGGUGAAGUUCUGCUACUGGGAGCAUGGAUCCACCAUGCAGGAGCUGACAGAUUAUCUGUUCUGUCAGAUGCUCUUGUGCUGUGUUUGCUAUCCUGCUUGUGCAGUAUCUCAAAGAAAGGCUGCUUAAGCUCAUCAGGGAAAUAAUGCAACACGUUGCUGUUAUUUCAUCUGACCUAAACGUUUUCACUGUGUAAUGCUUGCUGCUAGUCUUGUGCAUAGCCCUGGGGGAAGCUGAAACACAAAACACUUCAUUGAGCUUUUUGAUCCAACAGGUCUUGACAUAUUGCUGCUGGACACAUCUGUGUCUGAUCUGAACUGUGAGAGUUCCAUUCUGUCCUGCUAAAAUAACAGCAUAUUAAACAAUACUAUUCUGUCCAU